ACGAACGAAUCGCCGUUGUUUCGUUUCGAGUUGGUGAACAUGGCGACGGUUGUUACGGACGACGUUUAUCAUUAAUUUGUUUAUCAUUAUCUUUUAACGUUAAAGCUAUUAAUUUUCAACGUCUACCUCAGCACCUUUUUGAAUAAAACAGCAUUAAAAGGAUAGGUUAUAAACUCGUGUUUUCGCGAAGAAAUCUUCGACGCCUAAUUCCUUUAGUGGUCGAUCUCUUCUGUUUCUCUAAGUUUUAUUGAUAAGAUUUUUUUGUAAUUAUAUCAUGGCAGCGGCUGCAGCUGCUGCUUUGCUCGACGAGUUGAUGGGCAGGAACCGAAAUAUCCUGCCCAACGAGAAACCCAAGGAACUUAACUGGGAAGAUCCCGAGUUUUGCAAAUUGUUCUUGGUCAAGUUUUGUCCACACGAUUUAUUUGUAAAUACAAGAGCAGAUUUAGGAGCAUGUCUCAAAGUACAUGAUGAGGAAGCAAGAGAUCUUUUCGAGAAAGCUCCUUAUACUUACCGUAAGCAACAGUAUGAAGAUGAGUUUAUUAGAUUUUGUCAAAGCAUGCUUGGAGAAGUGGAAAGAAAAAUUGUGAAAGGAAAACAGCGCUUAGCUCUUAUUGGCAAAACUGAAGCUCCAACUCUUUCACCUGCACAAACUCAAAAAAAUGAAGAACAAAUUACUCUACUGUCAGAAAAAAUCAAUAAACUUGUAGAAGAAGCUGAACAGAGCGGUAUUCAAGGCAACGUAGAACAAGCACAAGGGCUAAUGCGCCUUUGUGAUCAAUUAAAGGAAGAACGAGAGGCUCUACGUAAAUCAAAUGAUAACAGCCAUUACAAUCAGACUGCUGAAUUAGCAGCUGCUCAAGAAAAACAAAUGGAGGUUUGUGAUGUUUGUGGAGCAUUUCUAAUUGUUGGUGAUGCUCAGCAAAGAAUAGAUGAUCACUUAAUGGGAAAACAACAUGUUGGUUAUGCUAGAUUGAAAAAUGCAUUACAAGAAAUUUUGGACAAGCGAGAAAAAGUUAGAAAUGAAAAAGAAGCUAAACGCGAAGAAGAAAGAAAACGGACGAGAGACGACGAUAGACGGAGACGAGAUGACAGAGACAGAUAUCGUGAUCGAGAACGAGGAGACAGAAGAGAUCGAGACCACGAAAGGGAUAGGGACAAACGUCGACGAUACGACGACGAUAAAAAACACGAGGGUUUACACAAGAAUUCUAAACACCGAAGUAGAAGUAGAUCUAAAGAUAGACAUGACCGGCAUCGAGAUGAUGACAAAGAACGUCGUCACAAAGACAGAGGUAAUCAUGACCAUCGAUCGAACCAUCACCGUAGACGACACCGAUCUCGAAGUAGAAGUCACAAGUAACUACUCUUGAUUGGUUAGUGAGCAGAAAGUCAGGUAUGCACUAUACAAUUUACUAUUAACGUCUCAAUUUUUGUACAGAUUGUUUUGUCAGGUAAGUUCCACUAGUUGCACCUUUAAACGUCAGUUAUGCUUGUGACCUUUGAAAUUCUGUUUGAACAAUCACAAUUUCACCUGACAAUAAUCCGUGACGCGCUUUAAAUUCGGUUACUUAUCUAUUAUUGGAAACAUGUUGGCUUGUCAAUUAAAACAUUUCACAAAACUCGUUUGCCAAGUUUUAAAACUGCAAUUCAAUCAAACAAACAAAAAAAGAAUAGGUUAAAAUGACUAUUUGUAGAUAUUGAGACGUUAAACAAUAUCUUAGAAUAUGAAAAUCUGCAGAGCAAGUUAGGAGAAGGUAUACCUACACUUGCUUUGGGUCGACGAUAAUGUAUCUUUAGGUUGUACACAAUUAUUUUAAAAACUCCAAGGACAGCGUAGAGUUAUUUUAUUCAAAAAAUUAAGCGAUUUAAUGGAGGAAACAGAGCCUACUUCCAUAAACCUGCCUCGACACUGCCGUGUGUGACUGACUAUACAAACCUAGCUUCUGCCACGCAUUUCAGAGGUAUUUAUGGUGGAAUGAUGAUACCAGAACCUGGCCUCUUUUUUAUUAAAAAUGUUUUAGAUAUGUCAAUGAAGGUGCACUGUUCCAUAAAGCAGAUUUUUAUUGCAUUCUACUAUAUUGCAUCCACUUUUUCCUCGUGGUACUGUUUUCAAAAACGUGUUGAAUUUUUUAUGCAAACAGUUUAUCAUUGAAUUGUACAUAAAAUAUUCAAAAUAGAUGAUAAAAUUAAUCUUUUCCUUUGAUUAACAACAAUUUUUUUAUUCUAAAAUUAUAGCUUUUAUAACGUGUAUAUUUUAUUGUUUGCUAUUGCAUUGCUUACAUUAAAUAACUAUGAAAUUGCUGCUCUGCCUUCACGUUUAACCAUUUACCGAAUAAGGUGAUUUUAAGGAAACGUAAAAACGUUAAUUAUAUACUUUUUGAAAAAAUAUAUAUCCGUGGGAUAUUGUAUUUAAUAUUUAUUUUAAUGUUCUCGUCAAUCAUAAUUUUAUUUUUAAAUGAUAUUUUUUUAUUUGUAUUAUUAGCAGUCUUUUAUAAAUUUUAAAGCAAUUACUUUGUAAAGUUUCAUAUUCAAUUGGACUUACAUAAUUUACAAAAGUGCACACAUGUACAAAAGUUUAUUUAACAAUAUACACUCUAGGUAUUCAGUUUGGAAGACGUAUGCAUUUCUAAAUACGUCUUGAAUCAAUUUAAUUUUGUAAGCCAGACUCCAUAGCUGGGAAACCGAUUUCGAAAUUUCGAACAUUGCAGAAAUCCCGUUAUAUAUAGGAAGACUGCGCUCGGAUGUUGUGAGAAGUGUACAAGUACGCGAGGACACUCGAGAACGGCUUAAUGUAUCAUUUAAGGUAAAAAAAGAUUUUCCAUACGUGUUUGAAAGAUUUUGAAAAUGUGUUUUCAACGAUGUCGCCAAUGGUCAAGUGGAAUUUGAAAAUUUCGUCUUUCUUAAUUUAUUCUUAAUUAAAAAGGAAAUAAGAAAUAAUUUCCUGUUCAUCAAGUCAUUUUCAUUGUACGUAGUAAAUACUUGUACAUUGAGUAAAUCAUUUCUAAAAAUAGUUUAUUUGGAAAUUUCUUUGUUAUUCAAAUAUUCCUUAUGCUCUUGACUACUAUGAACAGUUCUUUUUUAAAUUGUAAUAAUUAGUUGUGUUAAUAUUUGACAAAUAGUGUUCUAAAAUACAUUUUAUCGUUUGGAAUGUAAUAACUUUCAAUAAUUAUUCAAUGAAUUGGAUUACGUAAAAUAAUCAACAACUUCUCUGUAACUAAAAAUAAAG